AAGAUAGAGCUUACUUAGGAACAGAUAAAACUGCUUUUCUGAGCUCUGUCAUUGGAUAUGGAUGGCUCUCAAUUUUGCUUAAAUCAGGCGUGUGCACAGGGUUUUCCAGGUUAGAGAAUACACUUGGCCAGAAGCAAGCUCCUAAAUAAUUAGUAUCAUAAAGCUAAAUUGGAGUUCAUAUUAUUUAAAUUGAAUUAAAAUAGUAUGUUCACUGUCAUGGAUUUAAUAUUUCUCCUAUCACAUGACAACAACAACUGGGAGGUUUCUAGAAAAUGCAUCCAGGGCUUUGGGACACUGCUUGCUACCCCACAAGCCCAGGAAUGUGAAUCUUUAUUUAACGUGGUUAACUGAAUUGAUUUUUCUGAGUUGGUACUGAAUUUGAAGUCAUUUGAAACAGGUGGCUUUUGUGCAACAGGUUCUGCCACUAGUAAAUAACCAAGUUUCACCAUUUAUUUUGCAGAAGUAUAUCCCAUUAAAUCUAACCAAACUUAGAUGGUGUGAAUACAUCUGCUAGUGCAUUAUUAAACCUGAUUAAGCAUAUGAUACAAAUUCAAUCCCUGCCUGCCAGCACCGCUCCAGAAUUUGAAAAUAACAAAAGGGGUUUUUUUUCCCCACCAGGAGAUGCGUUAGAUAAAACCUGGACUUUUCGGCAUACAUCGUGGUGGAGCUCUGCCACUUAAUUGCAGCUAAAGUCGGAGUCUUGUAUGGGGAAGAUGUUCCCUCUUGUCGUGGGAGAGAAAUGACAGAUGAUAGUCAACAUUCUAAGCGGAAAUUUGGAUGUGUUGAAACAUAAGUGGCACCAAGGACUGGAUAACGACAGCUAUGUUCAACCCUCACUGACAUAUGAGAUCUUUCCAACAAGAUUGGACCAUGAAUCUUUGCUCUCUCUCUCUCUCUUUUUUUUUUUUUUUGCAUGCAUAAAUGCCCAACAACUGCUUGUUCACCCUAAGGGCUAAAGAAAAAAUGUAUGUAGAUUCCUCAGCUUAAAGUUGAUGUGGUACUCAGAUAGAAAAAGAGAGACAGAGACAAAGGUCUUCAACCGAAACUCACUGCUGCAAGGAAUUCAAUAGAGCAGCGAUGGAUAGGAGGUCUUUACUCACCAUCUUGAGUUUCUCCUCGAAGAAGAAAGUCUGUCAAGACGGUGUUGAGGGAAACUCUGGAGCAUAAAUAGAACAACACGCUGCUAGAUCUGCAGAAAUCUGAACAACAUGAACUGAAGUUUCUCCAAUAAAAAAUUAUAUGCUUGAAAAAGGAAACCAAGGUUGCGUCAAGGGCUCACCUAGGAUGGUGCUUGUAGACUGAUCCAUCAACCCCCACUGUAAUCUUCAGCGUCUCCUCGUUUCUGCUGUCCC